AGACCCGAAACCCGGUGAUCUAGCCAUGGGCAGGUUGAAGGUUGGGUAACACUAACUGGAGGACCGAACCGACUAAUGUUGAAAAAUUAGCGGAUGACCUGUGGCUGGGGGUGAAAGGCCAAUCAAACCGGGAGAUAGCUGGUUCUCCCCGAAAGCUAUUUAGGUAGCGCCUCGUGAAUUCAUCUCCGGGGGUAGAGCACUGUUUCGGCUAGGGGGCCAUCCCGGCUUACCAACCCGAUGCAAACUGCGAAUACCGGAGAAUGUUAUCACGGGAGACACACGGCGGGUGCUAACGUCCGUCGUGAAGAGGGAAACAACCCAGACCGCCAGCUAAGGUCCCAAAGUCAUGGUUAAGUGGGAAACGAUGUGGGAAGGCCCAGACAGCCAGGAUGUUGGCUUAGAAGCAGCCAUCAUUUAAAGAAAGCGUAAUAGCUCACUGGUCGAGUCGGCCUGCGCGGAAGAUGUAACGGGGCUAAACCAUGCACCGAAGCUGCGGCAGCGAACGUAUCACUUAAAGCGAUUCAGCGGAUGACGAUUGACGGAGCGAAGCGACGUCAAAGCGUAUACAAAGUCGAGUCGGUUUAAGGAUACGUUCGUUGGGUAGGGGAGCGUUCUGUAAGCCUGCGAAGGUGGCCUGUGAGGGUUGCUGGAGGUAUCAGAAGUGCGAAUGCUGACAUAAGUAACGAUAAAGCGGGUGAAAAG
rnacentral:rRNA from 1 species